UCCUUUUUGGCCUUUAACCUUCCUCCAUGUAAGAACACAGUGAACAAGGUGCCAUCCUGGAAACAAACAGCAGCCUUCACCAGACACCAGACCUUCUGGCACCUUGACCUUACACUUUCCAGCCUCCAGAACCGACUAGAACUAUUGUCACUGAGGGCAGGUGAAAGUUCAGCCAACUCGGAACCCGGAGGCCCCACCUUACCUCCCUUUGUGAAGAGCCCAGAGCCUUUGUCCAAAGCUGCAUCACUUCCCACCCAGCCCUUCCUGAGCCAACUCCCCGAUGUCUCCAGAAGAACACAGUCGGCAUCAUCGUGAUAACAUCAGGGAAACUCCUAUUUCCAGCAGUUUCUCCUUCAGCUGCAAAAAUGUGCAGUGGUAGACAGGGCGUGGGUUUUUGAAGUCUCUGUAGGAAGCAGAGUUGUUUUCUCAGCACCACAUCUGAACGCAUCUUCUAAGGGUGGCCGACUGUGUGGGAGCUGCAGGAGCUCAGCCGGGGUGCAGCCUUCCCAUUCCCCACCCUGUCCACCACCACCACGCCUGGACCCGACAGGGAGGGCAGGACCCCACACCACGUGGUAACUGUUAAGGAAAAGGGAGCC
rnacentral:lncRNA from 1 species